UAUCCAGUGGAGAAAUCACUACCCAGUGGAUAAGUCACUGUCCAAACUUGUAGCUCAGUUAUUCAGUGGAUAGUAAUUUAUCCAGUGGACAGUGCUAUCCACCCUUUCAACAACAGGGGUCAGAUGAAAACACUUUUAAAGCAG